rnacentral:rRNA from 1 species
CGGGACACGUGGUAUCCUGUCUGAAUAUGGGGGGACCAUCCUCCAAGGCUAAAUACUCCUGACUGACCGAUAGUGAACCAGUACCGUGAGGGAAAGGCGAAAAGAACCCCGGCGAGGGGAGUGAAAAAGAACCUGAAACCGUGUACGUACAAGCAGUGGGAGCACGCUUAGGCGUGUGACUGCGUACCUUUUGUAUAAUGGGUCAGCGACUUAUAUUCUGUAGCAAGGUUAACCGAAUAGGGGAGCCGAAGGGAAACCGAGUCUUAACUGGGCGUUAAGUUGCAGGGUAUAGACCCGAAACCCGGUGAUCUAGCCAUGGGCAGGUUGAAGGUUGGGUAACACUAACUGGAGGACCGAACCGACUAAUGUUGAAAAAUUAGCGGAUGACUUGUGGCUGGGGGUGAAAGGCCAAUCAAACCGGGAGAUAGCUGGUUCUCCCCGAAAGCUAUUUAGGUAGCGCCUCGUGAAUUCAUCUCCGGGGGUAGAGCACUGUUUCGGCAAGGGGGUCAUCCCGACUUACCAACCCGAUGCAAACUGCGAAUACCGGAGAAUGUUAUCACGGGAGACACACGGCGGGUGCUAACGUCCGUCGUGAAGAGGGAAACAACCCAGACCGCCAGCUAAGGUCCCAAAGUCAUGGUUAAGUGGGAAACGAUGUGGGAAGGCCCAGACAGCCAGGAUGUUGGCUUAGAAGCAGCCAUCAUUUAAAGAAAGCGUAAUAGCUCACUGGUCGAGUCGGCCUGCGCGGAAGAUGUAACGGGGCUAAACCAUGCACCGAAGCUGCGGCAGCGACACUAUGUGUUGUUGGGUAGGGGAGCGUUCUGUAAGCCUGUGAAGGUGUACUGUGAGGUAUGCUGGAGGUAUCAGAAGUGCGAAUGCUGACAUAAGUAACGAUAAAGCGGGUGAAAAGCCCGCUCGCCGGAAGACCAAGGGUUCCUGUCCAACGUUAAUCGGGGCAGGGUGAGUCGACCCCUAAGGCGAGGCCGAAAGGCGUAGUCGAUGGGAAACAGGUUAAUAUUCCUGUACUUGGUGUUACUGCGAAGGGGGGACGGAGAAGGCUAUGUUGGCCGGGCGACGGUUGUCCCGGUUUAAGCGUGUAGGCUGGUUUUCCAGGCAAAUCCGGAAAAUCAAGGCUGAGGCGUGAUGACGAGGCACUACGGUGCUGAAGCAACAAAUGCCCUGCUUCCAGGAAAAGCCUCUAAGCAUCAGGUAACAUCAAAUCGUACCCCAAACCGACACAGGUGGUCAGGUAGAGAAUACCAAGGCGCUUGAGAGAACUCGGGUGAAGGAACUAGGCAAAAUGGUGCCGUAACUUCGGGAGAAGGCACGCUGAUAUGUAGGUGAAGUCCCUCGCGGAUGGAGCUGAAAUCAGUCGAAGAUACCAGCUGGCUGCAACUGUUUAUUAAAAACACAGCACUGUGCAAACACGAAAGUGGACGUAUACGGUGUGACGCCUGCCCGGUGCCGGAAGGUUAAUUGAUGGGGUUAGCGCAAGCGAAGCUCUUGAUCGAAGCCCCGGUAAACGGCGGCCGUAACUAUAACGGUCCUAAGGUAGCGAAAUUCCUUGUCGGGUAAGUUCCGACCUGCACGAAUGGCGUAAUGAUGGCCAGGCUGUCUCCACCCGAGACUCAGUGAAAUUGAACUCGCUGUGAAGAUGCAGUGUACCCGCGGCAAGACGGAAAGACCCCGUGAACCUUUACUAUAGCUUGACACUGAACAUUGAGCCUUGAUGUGUAGGAUAGGUGGGAGGCUUUGAAGUGUGGACGCCAGUCUGCAUGGAGCCGACCUUGAAAUACCACCCUUUAAUGUUUGAUGUUCUAACGUUGACCCGUAAUCCGGGUUGCGGACAGUGUCUGGUGGGUAGUUUGACUGGGGCGGUCUCCUCCUAAAGAGUAACGGAGGAGCACGAAGGUUGGCUAAUCCUGGUCGGACAUCAGGAGGUUAGUGCAAUGGCAUAAGCCAGCUUGACUGCGAGCGUGACGGCGCGAGCAGGUGCGAAAGCAGGUCAUAGUGAUCCGGUGGUUCUGAAUGGAAGGGCCAUCGCUCAACGGAUAAAAGGUACUCCGGGGAUAACAGGCUGAUACCGCCCAAGAGUUCAUAUCGACGGCGGUGUUUGGCACCUCGAUGUCGGCUCAUCACAUCCUGGGGCUGAAGUAGGUCCCAAGGGUAUGGCUGUUCGCCAUUUAAAGUGGUACGCGAGCUGGGUUUAGAACGUCGUGAGACAGUUCGGUCCCUAUCUGCCGUGGGCGCUGGAGAACUGAGGGGGGCUGCUCCUAGUACGAGAGGACCGGAGUGGACGCAUCACUGGUGUUCGGGUUGUCAUGCCAAUGGCACUGCCCGGUAGCUAAAUGCGGAAGAGAUAAGUGCUGAAAGCAUCUAAGCACG